rnacentral:rRNA from 1 species
UAAUCAUAUGCUUGUGUCAAAGAUUAAGCCAUGCAUGUGUAAGUAUAAAUAACCCACUGUGAAACUGCGAAUGGCUCAAUAAAUCAGUAAUUGUGAAUUUGGUGACAACCAAAAUAAGGAUAUUUCUGUUAACACAGAAUUAAUACUCAUAACAAAAAUGUAUUUAUUUUCUUAUUCUUAUAGCAAUAUAAUAAUAAAAUCAAUUAUUUUUAAAUAAAUAAUGAAAUAAAAUAAAUUCAACUAAUCAUUUCAAACUUUAAAGAAAUGAUGCACCAUUUUAAUUUCUGACCUAUCAACUUUGGAUGGUAAGAUCUGGGCUUACCAUGGUAAUGACGGAUAACGGGGAACUAGAGUUCUGUUCCGGAGAGGGAGCUUGAGAAGUGGCUACCACUUCCAAGGAAGGCAGCAGGCGCGCAAAUUACCCAAUUCUAAAUUAGAGAGGUAGUGACGACGAAUAUCAAGGCUGAAUAUUAAUAAUAUUUAGUGAUUGAAAUGAAAAUAAUUUAUAACCCUAAUUAAGUAACGAUUGGAGGACAAGUCAGGUGCCAGCACCCGCGGUAAUUCCAGCUCCAAUAGUGUAUAUUAAAUUUGUUGCGAUUAAAACGUUCGUAGUUUAAUAUUUUAUGAGUUUUUCUUUUUAUUUUCUCUUUUUUAAAGAAAAAAUAAAUAAAUUCAUAAAUCAAAUAAAUAUAUUUAAUAAAUAUAAAACUAUUACUUUGAAAAAAAUAAAGUGAUUAAAGCAGUCAGUUAUAAUAACAAAAAGACAUAAAUAAUCUAGCAUAGGAUAAUACCAUUUUUAACAAAAAAGAAAAUAAAUAUUGGUUUUUAUUUUCAAUAAAUAAAAGAUUAAUAGGGAUAGUUGGGGUGAUUCAUAUUUAAUUGUCAGAGGUGAAAUUCUUGGAUUUCUGAAAGAUGAACUUCUGCGAAAGCAUUUCACAAGGAUGUUUUCAUUAAUCAAGAACGAAAGUUGGGGGAUCGAAGACGAUCAGAUACCGUCGUAGUCUCAACUGUAAACUAUAUCAACUAUGGAAUAAAUUUAGUUUUUAUUUUAUUUUAAUAGAGGUAAAACUCUAUUGUUGUGAAAUAAUUAAUAAACUCCUUUAGAACAUUAAAGAGAAAUCAAAGUGUUUAGGUUUCGGGGGGAGUAUGGUCGCAAGGCUGAAACUUAAAGGAAUUGACGGAAGGGCACCACCAGGAGUGGAGCCUGCGGCUUAAUUUGACUCAACACGGGGAAACUUACCAGGACCAGACAGUAGAAGGAAUGACAGAUUGAAAGCUCUUUCAUGAUUUACUGGGUGGUGGUGCAUGGCCGUUCUUAGUUGGUGGAGUGAUUUGUCUGGUCAAUUCCGAUAACGAACGAGAUUUUACUUAUUAUUUUUUUAUCCUUUUAAUAUCAAGAGAAUAAAACAUAAUAAGACAAUUUAUAAACAGUAAUGGAAGUAUGAGGCAAUAACAGGUCUGUGAUGCCCUUUGAUGUUCUGGGCUGCACGCGCGCUACACUGAUAAUUUCAAAGAGUAAUACUAUUUUCACUCUAUCAAAUGAGAAGAAAAUAAUCAUUAUUGAAAAAUAAAGAAAAACUCAAUAAAAGUUAUCGUGAUGGGGAUAGAUGAUUGUAAUUAUUGAUCUUGAACGAGGAAUUCCCAGUAACCAUAAGUCAACAACUUAUGAUGAUUACGUCCCUGCCCUUUGUACACACCGCCCGUCGCUCCUACCGAUUGGAUAAUCCGGUGAAAAUUUUGGCAAUAAGGAUAUAUUUUUAUUUUUAUUAAUAUUAUUUAAACCAUAUUAUUUAGAGGAAGGAGAAGUCGUAACAAGGUUUCC